GCCGCGCGCUCCUCAUUUUCAGUUUCUCCGUUUCCGCAGGGCUCCGUGCUGACCAUCUGCCCAACGCCUCCCACGUAGAGCUCGGGGUCACUUCCUGGGAGUGCUGGCCAGAACAGAUGACGAUCCAUGGGGCCUGAGUGUCGUCCGGCCUCGCCGAGCCCGGAAGCCAUCUGCUUUCUAUUCUGAGGUCGAGGACGAGGCUGCACGGGCCAGUGCUGAUCUCCGGGCUGUGGCAGCUCACCCAGCAGCGCUUUCCUGGGCGCUGUGCUCCGGCAGAGUGGAGUGUGCUCUGUUCUGUGUGGUCGGUGAGCACGGCGCAGCCCGAGGGCACCUUCAGUCCCACAGAGACACAUGGCUGGCGGAAGGACUGUCGCCUGCCAGGGUCGGUGGCCACGCGCAGGUUGUUGCAGUGCGGACUUCUCCUCUGGAGGCCCAGAGGAGAAAGGGACCCGAGGGGGCCGCACCAGGAGCACCGCACGGGGAAGUCAGGCUCUGCGAUGACCCCCAGGAAGGAGGCCUCCGGGGUGGUGAGUGUGGAUGCAGGGACGCAGCCUCGCUCCGGAGGCCGGAAGCCUGUUCUCUGGGCCUCAAGGUCAGCCCAGCGGGUGGUGCUGAAGAACCCGUGGGGCGGUGUUCUGGCCUGGAGGCCGGGGAGGUUCUGGCCCCCUCCCGACAAGCAGGGACCCACCCGGUGCCUUGCCAGGGCGGCGACCGCCCUGGACCUCCCCAGAGCCAUUCUUGGUUCUUCCAAGGGUCUCGCAACAGGAGCUGCCGCCUGGCCUGGCCUUGACCGUGCCGUGCUGGGGCGGCUGCCGAGUCCCCCGCCGGAACGUGGGACUUCAUGGAAAAACUGAGCCCACGAGUGCACAGAGAGGAAAUUCCAGGGUGCGUUCCUGACGGACUUGUCUUGGACGGCAGCUGGUUACUUUGGCCCCGGCCCAGCGCUCUCGCGCCCCUCCACGUUGCCCUUCCACCCCCAACUUUACUGUUUCCUUCAAAAGAAAAAAAUCACUAAGCAGUGAGAAGCCUCAAGGUGCAACCAAGUCAAGCAGAAGGGGAAGCGGCAGAUCCCGGGGCCGCCUGCCAGGAGCUCCGCUGCUCACGGUUAGAGAAAGACGCCCCUGUGCCGAGCCGCGCACCACAACCUCUGCGUGCGCACGGUGACGUGCGGUCCGCUCCUCCAGGAGGGACUUCACAGCGCUGCUAAGCACAGCUGUCGAGUCACUGCAUCUCUGCUUCCCCGCUGGACCCACAGGUCGGGAGGGCGCCCUCCCUGAGCCUGGGGGCUCCCCUGCCCUCCCGCCUGACCUGCUGGGCCACCAGAUCUUUCGGUGGCUGAGCUUUGGUGCCCGUUGCAGCACCGAAACUGUUCCACAACACGGCUGCAGUUGGAAACAGCCCACCCCACCGCGAGGAAGCCGAGGCUGAGAGUUCCGCCUUGCCCGAGGUGCAGACCAGGAGCAGGGUGGGGGCUCCGGCCAGGCCUGAGCACCUCAGGCGGGCGCUGGGCUGUGGCCCGUCCUUUCAGCAGAGGCGUGGGGAGAGCCUGAGGCUCAAGCACUUGUGAUGGGUCUGCACCGUGCUCCUCCCGUGCAGACGGCACCUGCCUGUUCCUGCCUGACCUGCGCCCGUGGCCUGUGUGUCCUCCGGCUGCAGGGUGCCCCGACAGCUGUGUCAGGUGUCUGUCCUAAACGUGGGGCUCUGGGGUGCUGGGGAGCCCCUGUAAAUCCCGUGCCGAGCAGCUGUAAUCUGGUGUCUCCUCUGGAGCCUGACGGCAGCAGCUGUGGGUGAGCGAGUGCUGGCAUUGGAUCUCCACCGUGCCAUGCCUGGGGGCACGGGGCCUUGUGACCCUAGCAGGAGGCCAGCUGGGAGUGGGACAGCAGCCUUGGUGUGGCGGGCUGAGCGUCUUUCAGCUCCUCUGCUCUCUGCAGGAGGGAGGGCCCGGGCCUGCCACUCUGGGACUUUUCCUCACAGCGUCUCUGGUGAGUGGUGUGCAGCUCACGAGACUUGGAGCGCAGAUUCCCUGAGGUCUUGGGUGCCGGGAGAGGCACUGCCCCUGCAGCCGGAGGUCUUGUCCCUUGUGGUUCCUCCACCCCUCCAGGGACACUGCGGUGGGGAGCCCUUCUGUACCUGCUCUUGACCUCUGUGCUCCCUCUGUGGCUGGCUGAUUUUGCCGAGCCAAAGGCUGUGGGAGCCACUCAGGGCUUGCUGAGCUGUUUCUGCAUCUAUCUGCUUUCUGCCGGAAACGGCUGUGGCACACUUCACAGCGUCUUCAUGUCCACCGCCUUCUCUCCUGGCGCACACAGGGCGUAGGCAGACCGCCGCACCACGAGCCACCUGUCUGCUUGGUGUUACAGACACCAACUCACAGCCGACAAACCGUCGCAGCGUUUACACUAGCAGCGAGCACGGGCUCCCGUCUGUCCAGGCUUCGUGGCGGUUGGCACGCCCAGGGCCACGGACUUAGCGGUUCUGGGUCGGGGGUGUCACCUCAGGGUUUUCAUUUCCCUAACGGAAAACUCUUAGCCCUUUUCUCUGGUCUCACUGGCCGUUUAAACCUUCUUCCGUGACUUGAGUCUUCAAGGUUUUGCCUCUGUUUUGAUUGAACAAUUGUCUUCUUCUUAUUGCUCAGCAGAAUUUCUUACUGCAGGGAGGAGCCCGGGUCUCCAGGUACUGCCAAUGCCUGUCUCCACGUGUGGCUUCCUGUUUUAUUUUUUAAAUUGAAUCUUUUGAGGGCAGAAGUUUCUGAUUGUGAUCAAGCUCAAUGCAUCAAUCUUCUCCUUCACGGUUAGUGUUUCUUUGUGUCCUCUCUAAUAGACCUUUGUCUGUCCGUCCGUUUUUAAGGCCCAGGACGCUUCCACAUCUUAGCCCAGGAUGAGUUCACUGCGUUUAUGAAGAGCAGCGCAGUGAGCUCAUCCUUCUCUCCACACUGUGCCCCCGUGCCUGAGAGUCCCGGCUUCCUGAGAGGGGCGCCAGUGCAGUGUGGCUUUGCAAGGCAGUCGGGCGCCUGGGACUGGGGUGCUGGCUGAGAUUCCCGCCCCCACUGGGAAGCAAGUUCAUGGGGAGGGAGAGAUCUCGGCAAGGGAGAUUUCGCUUGGUUUUUGAAAGUUACUUUUCACUAGAAAAGUGCGUUUUUGAGCUACUGGAGAUUUUAGACCCUGUGUCCCUGUUUAUAAGAGAAAUGGAAAAGGUGAAAAGAAAGAAUGAAUUUUAACGGGCUCCUUUGCUGGGAUCAUUCUUUGUGUUUCACUGCUGUGGAAAAAAAGAAAAGGGGAACUUAG
ensembl:lincRNA